rnacentral:tRNA from 1 species
GCGCCCUUAGCUCAGCUGGAUAGAGCAACGGCCUUCUAAGCCGUAGGUCAUUGGUUCGAAUCCAAAUAGGGCGUGCCA